rnacentral:tRNA from 1 species
GGCACCGUUGUGUAGUUGAUUAACGCGUCGGUGUACAAUGCCGAAAUCGCUGGUUCAAAUCCAGAUGGUACCA